CAUAGAGCAGAGAUAUACAGCUGAGUACCGUCAACAUAUUGGUGAUACCUCAGUCCAUGGUGACGGAUUAUCUCACCCAGCGGUUUCAUAUAAAUG